UGUUUUGGAAAAUUAAGAUCUGAAAGUCAUGAGUAAUUUCCAUUGUGCUGGUUAUGAUUCACUGUCACCUUGUAUCUGUCAUUUAGUGAAAUCAACAGCAUCAUUGCAAAAGCUACGAUGCCUUGCCCCAAGCGCAAGUUAAAACCAAAAAUAAGGUUCAAAGUGUCGCAAACAAAACUUUCGCAAACUUUAAAGAAACUAAAAAAACCACUAGAAUUGACAAAUAGUUCGGGAGCAUUUUCAUCCUGCAACAUUAACAUUAUAAAACAGCUGAACACCAACACUUUUCCGCAGCCCAUCGAAUGGAGACAUAACUGGUUGGAAGUUUUUAAAGAUACCAUCACUCGUCACAAUUGGGAAGCAUUCAUAAGGACUCUCAGAUUGGCUUCUCAAAAUAACACAUUUUGUGGCCUGGACAACGUAUUACGGAACUCUUUCUUAAGCAUUCUUACACAUAAAAUCUACAUGGAUAUAAAAGCCUUGCGUUUAUAUUUGUACACAAUUGCACCAUGUCGUAAUGAGCAUGAUAUAGAAUUUUGUAUUAAAACUAUACUGCGGAUAUUCAAUGGCGAUCAAAACAAACCCGUACAAAAAAACGGAGGAAAAACAAUAGAUAGCGCAAGUAAUUCGGAUGUUAUUCAAAGCUAAAUAACAAAUUCGCACAAUGAGAGGUUCACAAUUACGAUACAUUUACUAUUACAAAGCAAACUUAACCAUCUUUAAUUUAGCUUUAAUAUACAAUUGAGAUGAUCAACCGGUAUUAA